AGAUUGAACGCUGGCGGCAGGCCUAACACAUGCAAGUCGAGCGGUAGAGAGGUGCUUGCAUCUCUUGAGAGCGGCGGACGGGUGAGUAAUGCCUAGGAAUCUGCCUAGUGGUGGGGGAUAACGUUCGGAAACGGACGCUAAUACCGCAUACGUCCUACGGGAGAAAGCGGGGGACCUUCGGGCCUCGCGCCAUUAGUUGAGCCUAGGUCGGAUUAGCUA
rnacentral:rRNA from 1 species